GGAAAGGGAUUCACGCAGAAAGAUACAUGGACAGGUGAAUUGGAGUAUAAUCUCUCGUUGGUAUUCUAUAUUUCUGGGCAACUACAAAAAGUUUGUAUAUACAAUUAUAAUAUAUGCGAUUAGCUAUAUAGUUCAAGGAAUGAGGAUGCUCAAUUAACUGAAAGUUGCCCUUUAGUGAUUUUUUGUUCAAAAUGUUAUUUUGAUAGACUUCUAUUCUACUCACUGUUUCCAAAUGUUACCGUUG
rnacentral:lncRNA from 1 species